rnacentral:rRNA from 1 species
CCUGAGAAACCCAAAAGAUCGAAUGGGGAGAUUCAUCGUCAGCGAUCUCGGCGCGUGCGCGGUUCGCGAUGUCGCGGGGUCUCGGCCUCUCGGCACGCGUCCGCGCUUGCCUCGCCGGGUGUCGUCGGCGUGCACUUCUCCCCUAGUAGGACGUCGCGACCCGUUGGGUGUCGGUCUACGGCUCGGGUGGGCGCCUGUCACUCGUAACACUUCGCGGCGUCGCGCGGCAGACCCUCGGUCGCCNNNCCAGCUGCCCGGCGGUACUCGCACGGUAUCGAGCCGCAAAUAUUCGAUUUGCGUCCUGCCCGCCGCAAGCUGCGCCAGUGUCUUAAUACCCCGGAUGUUUACGGACCUAGCGCCGUCACCGGGCCUGGCCGGCUGUUGGCCGGCGGUGUCCUGGGACCGGCUCUGAAUUUUACCGGUCAGCGACGCUACUGCUUUGGGUACUUUCAGGACCCGUCUUGAAACACGGA